rnacentral:lncRNA from 1 species
CAUGCGAGCAGGAAACAGGAAAAGGCGCGCGUAUGCGCGCGCACACGCAUGCGCGGUAGCGAAAGAAUUUUCCUAAACACAGAUGUCGAGCAGAUGCCACACGUUGCAAUAUGUGCUACCAUGGGAAAAUACGUACGUGGCCGAAGAGAACGCGUGUUCCCAAAAAGAAAUAACGUCGACGAGCUUAGGUGAUUCGAGGAACGAAAUUUUGAGAUUUCGAGGAACGAAAAUCGGCACACGGAACAAGUAUAUACGGCUGUUGUUCGUGUGCCAAAUGUGCAAACAAAAACAAAAGCGAACGCAAGUCGAGUAAUCUGCGCUCGAAUCGCAGGGCGAUAACUCGAACGAGAAAUGCAAAAAUCUAUAGUGCGAUCGAUAUCUAAGAUGUUUUCCUUUUUAUUCAGGGCUUCAUUCGAUUAAUAUGUAAGCGUACAUAUGUAUAUAUUAACCGUGUUCUUCAUAAAAUAUGGCUACCAUGAUUUAGGUUAAAAUUAACACAUAUGUUAUUCUAAUUCGAAAGUUGUUUUUAAUGACAUAUGAAUAAAACUAGCGAUUACUUAUAUAAUCAGUCAUCUAAUCACACUGCAAUAUAGUUCACUAUUUAAUUUACAAUUUGCAAGAUUGUAAAUUUCAUGCAUUAAAAAUAAAAUAUCUACAAUACAAUUCAUAAAAGGAAUUUAGAAUGAAUAGUAUUGAACUGACUAAAGUGAUGUGUCGUUUUUGUCAGCAUUCAUUCAAUUUAUGUGUCAACACAUUCUUUUCCUUCAACAAAUGCAUGUAUAGCUUACAUUUUAAAGUAUCUUAUUAAGAAGAAGCAUUGCCAAGUGUAACGAAGUUAUUCAUCUGUUAUAAAUGAUUAAGAAUGAAAGAUACAAAAGUUAAAUUUGGCAAUAUAUUAUAUAAUUUUCAUAAAGAACGUUGUUUAAACUCGAAAAAGACACGUAUAGUAUACAGAGAGGCUACAGUAAAUGACUGCAAGUGACAGUUUCGGUUUGGGAUAUUUUGUGUUGAAAAUAUUUUCAUGAAUAGUAUUCUAGAAGAGCAAGCAUAGCUACAUAUGUUCAGUGAUUAAAUGAAAAUCUUGAUCAAUAACAACUUUCCUUAUAGAUUGAAAAAAUAAAUAAUACGUUGAUUUUAAUUACAUAUGUUAGAUUUGUAAUGGAAUAUCUGCUUAAAAAACGACAAAACUUUUUGGCCAGUCGAAUAGUUUUAUUUUCGCGUUCGGCCGUGGUCACCAGAUUUCUCGAGUUUUUCAUCGACAGCGCGGCGGCCCUGGCGACUGGAAUGCGGGCGCGGCGAGUCCUCGAUAUAUGAAUAUACGCAUACACGUAGUAGAUACACACGUUCGACGAGAAGCUUAAGGGGCGCUCACACGAAUGCGACGUAACGUCAGAAAUAUUUUACAUUCCCGUCUGUACACAUAUCGUACGCUUAAUCGUAAAAAUGCACGCGUUAAUUCGAGACAAAACAAAGUAAACUAAAUAAAGAUUCAUACAUGAAAAUUUUAUGCAUUCCAGAAGCGUACGUGUGUAUGUCCUUAGGCUCUAAGCACGUGUACACGUGCAUACGAAGGCAUAUACAUAGGAAAAUG